rnacentral:tRNA from 1 species
GCCCGGAUAGCUCAGUCAGUAGAGCAGAGGAUUGAAAAUCCUCGUGUCGGUGGUUCGAUUCCGCCUCCGGGCACCA